UCAGAAAUUUUCUAUUUAUUUAAUCAUAGUUCACAUUUCAGUUUCUUCUUUUCUUCUUUAUUUGGAAUAUUAUACUCACGUUCUCUUUUUAACAACAUACUGACAUGUUGAUAUUGAUUUUUUGAUGACUAUGCUGUGUCAAUCAGCAGAACCGUUUAACUGUUCCUUUUAGGCUAAAUAUAGGUGAAUGUGGUGGCUGGCCAGAGGAAGUAGAAAUGCCUUACGAGGAGUUGGAAAAUCUCCAGAAUUACGCGAAAUGAAUUUUGUUUGGAGUCUAAAUUCACCAUUGGCGUCGAAUUUGCAACUAGGACCCUUCAGGUCACAGGGAAGACAGUCAAGGCACAAAUAUGGGACACAACGAGGCAGGAAAGGUACAGAGCCAUAAACAGUGCUUAGUACAAAGGAUCCGUGGGAGCACUCUUGGUCUAUGAGAUAACCAAGAUACAAACUUUUGCAAACGGCACUGAUAAAUGGUGUUCAUGAAAAAGCAAAGAAUCGAAUCAAACUGAUAAUUGAACCGAACUGGAGAAAAAACACUACAUUUUCUUGGUUUUGGUUUUAGAUUUUAAAGACCGAUAAUAUUUAGUUUGGUUUUGAUUUUAAACAAACUAUUAAAAAAAAAAAAAUAUUGUUGAAAUCUGAACUUGAUGUGUGUGUCAAAAAUAAGUUAUUUGCAAUAUCCAAAACUUAAGACAAAAAGGUUUAUGGUUUUCAUAAUGGUGUUCAAAUUCUUCUUAGCAACAACUUUAGAGAUUGCUCUUUUUUCGGUGUCUCUGCUAAAUGAUUAUUACGUCCUAAAAAGUGGGAUCUUUGUGCAAUUAUCACAUUAAUUGCUUGAAUGUUGUUAGUAUUGUUCAU